rnacentral:rRNA from 1 species
CGCGUGCAAGAGUUCAUAUCGACCACGCGGCUUGCUUCCUCGAUGUCGGCUCUUGGUAUCCUGGCGUUGCAUAAUGCGCCAAGGGUGCGGGUGCUCACCGAUUAAAACCGAACGUGAGCUGGGUUUAGACCGUUGCGAGACAGGUUGGUUUCUAUCUAUUGGUACUGUUGGAUGUCUGAUGGCAAGAUGAUGCCGGUACGAGAGGAACGCAUUGUCGCGACCUAUGGUGUAUCGAUUGUCUGAGAAGGCACUGUCGAGUAGCUAAGUCGUAAAUCAUAAACGCUGAAUGCAUCUAAGCGUGAAGGAUGACCAAAAAAUAGACAUCC